GAUGAACGCUGGCGGCGUGCCUAAUACAUGCAAGUAGAACGCUGAAGCUUGGUGCUUGCACCGAGCGGAUGAGUUGCGAACGGGUGAGUAACGCGUAGGUAACCUGCCUGGUAGCGGGGGAUAACUAUUGGAAACGAUAGCUAAUACCGCAUAACAGUCGACAUUGCAUGAUGUUGAUUUGAAAGGGGCAAAUGCUCCACUACCAGAUGGACCUGCGUUGUAUUAGCUAGUUGGUGAGGUAACGGCUCACCAAGGCGACGAUACAUAGCCGACCUGAGAGGGUGAUCGGCCACACUGGGACUGAGACACGGCCCAGACUCCUACGGGAGGCAGCAGUAGGGAAUCUUCGGCAAUGGACGGAAGUCUGACCGAGCAACGCCGCGUGAGUGAAGAAGGUUUUCGGAUCGUAAAGCUCUGUUGUAAGAGAAGAACGAGUGUGAGAGUGGAAAGUUCACGCUGUGACGGAACUACCAGAAAG
rnacentral:rRNA from 1 species